UACGGAGGGUGCAAGCGUUAUCCGGAUUCACUGGGUUUAAAGGGUGCGUAGGAGGGCAGGUAAGUCAGUGGUGAAAUCUUCGAGCUUAACUCGGAAACUGCCGUUGAUACUAUCUGUCUUGAAUAACGUUGAGGUGAGCGGAAUAUGUCAUGUAGCGGUGAAAUGCUUAGAUAUGACAUAGAACACCGAUUGCGAAGGCAGCUCACUAAACGCUCAUUGACGCUGAGGCACGAAAGCGUUGGGGAUCAAACAGG
rnacentral:rRNA from 1 species